rnacentral:rRNA from 2 species
UGCAAGUCGAGCGGUAGCACAGAGAGCUUGCUCUCGGGUGACGAGCGGCGGACGGGUGAGUAAUGUCUGGGAAACUGCCUGAUGGAGGGGGAUAACUACUGGAAACGGUAGCUAAUACCGCAUAACGUCGCAAGACCAAAGUGGGGGACCUUCGGGCCUCAUGCCAUCAGAUGUGCCCAGAUGGGAUUAGCUAGUAGGUGGGGUAAUGGCUCACCUAGGCGACGAUCCCUAGCUGGUCUGAGAGGAUGACCAGCCACACUGGAACUGAGACACGGUCCAGACUCCUACGGGAGGCAGCAGUGGGGAAUAUUGCACAAUGGGCGCAAGCCUGAUGCAGCCAUGCCGCGUGUAUGAAGAAGGCCUUCGGGUUGUAAAGUACUUUCAGCGAGGAGGAAGGCGUUAAGGUUAAUAACCUUGGCGAUUGACGUUACUCGCAGAAGAAGCACCGGCUAACUCCGUGCCAGCAGCCGCGGUAAUACGGAGGGUGCAAGCGUUAAUCGGAAUUACUGGGCGUAAAGCGCACGCAGGCGGUUUGUUAAGUCGGAUGUGAAAUCCCCGGGCUCAACCUGGGAACUGCAUUUGAAACUGGCAAGCUUGAGUCUUGUAGAGGGGGGUAGAAUUCCAGGUGUAGCGGUGAAAUGCGUAGAGAUCUGGAGGAAUACCGGUGGCGAAGGCGGCCCCCUGGACAAAGACUGACGCUCAUGUGCGAAAGCGUGGGGACCAAACAGGAUUAGAUACCCUGGUAGUCCACUCUGUAAACGAUGUCGACUUGGAGGUUGGUUCCCUUGAGGAGUGUUUUCCGGAGCUAACGCGUUAA